ACGGGGUGCUUAGGCAUCUAGUGGCGGACGGGUGAGUAACGCGUGAGAAUCUGGCUCCAGGUCGGGGAUAACAGUUGGAAACGACUGCUAAUACCGGAUGUGCCGAGAGGUGAAAGAUUUAUUGCCUGGAGAUGAGCUCGCGUCUGAUUAGCUAGUUGGUGGUGUAAGGGACCACCAAGGCGUCGAUCAGUAGCUGGUCUGAGAGGAUGAUCAGCCACACUGGGACUGAGACACGGCCCAGACUCCUACGGGAGGCAGCAGUGGGGAAUUUUCCGCAAUGGGCGAAAGCCUGACGGAGCAAUACCGCGUGAGGGAGGAAGGCUCUUGGGUCGUAAACCUCUUUUCUCAAGGAAGAAGAAAGUGACGGUACUUGAGGAAUAAGCAUCGGCUAACUCCGUGCCAGCAGCCGCGGUAAUACGGAGGAUGCAAGCGUUAUCCGGAAUGAUUGGGCGUAAAGGGUCUGCAGGUGGAACUGAAAGUCUGCUGUUAAAGAGUUUGGCUUAACCAAAUAAAAGCGGUGGAAACUACAGAACUAGAGUGCGGUAGGGGCAAAAGGAAUUCCUGGUGUAGCGGUGAAAUGCGUAGAUAUCAGGAAGAACACCGGUGGCGAAAGCGUUUUGCUAGACCGUAACUGACACUGAGGGACGAAAGCUAGGGGAGCGAAUGGGAUUAGAUACCCCAGUAGUCCUAGCCGUAAACGAUGGAUACUAGGCGUGGC
rnacentral:rRNA from 3 species